ACCGCCACCACCACCUCCUCCUCCCCCUCCCCCAAGCGCAAGGUGACGCUGCUCGUGCCGUGGCUGUCCGCCUCCGAUCAGGAGCGCAUCUACCCCAAC
rnacentral:ribozyme from 1 species